ACCGCCAGGCGGGCGCGGCCGGUGCUCGGAAUCCUCNCGCACCCACCUGACGGCUGCUCGCUACGUUUUGUUAGCC
rnacentral:sRNA from 1 species